UUUCUCCUGUCACAGUAAGGUUGUGUACAAUAAAUUCUGUUUUUAAGAAAAGGAAUGUUUUGAGCUCACUGGCUGGAAGUGUUUUAGAAAAACUCUUAAGCCUGGUCAUAAAACUAACUCUUGAAUUCCACUGUUUGUCUCAGAGCAGUGGCAAGAAUAGCUGAAAAGUUAAGCAAUAGGUUUGACAACAAAAUAGGUAAGUCAUCUCAAGCGACUCUUGACAUGUUUCAAAUGCAGAACAUAUCAGGGUUGGAAGAUAUUGUCAUUGCUGACCUUGACACACUGGCUAGUGGGAAUUAAUUUAUAAAAGGUAAAUAACCAAGGACUCUCGGAUAGGACUCCAUCCCUUUUUCCUUCCCUCCCUCCCUCUCUCUUUUAACAUAAAUAGUUUAUAACCUCCAUUUGUCUUAAGGCAUAAGAAGAUCCCAGACCUAUUCCUGAUGGCCAAUACAAACACACACAGUGAUCAUAUUCCUGGAACUAGAAGUCCAGAAAACUGGUUUACCAGUGAGACAGAAUAUUUGAAAUUGGGACAUUAAUUUUACUUUUUGUUAUGGAUUUAUGUAAAUAAAGUUUUGUGACUAUUGCUAAAAUUACUGAGAAUAUAAAUUUGGACCCUGCCUGGAGGGUUACCUGUAAUAAUUUUUAUUCUUUCCCUGAGUAAGCCUUUGGUGGUGAGAGACAACUCUCUUAGCCAAAGGAGAAUUCAAAGUCUCACUCCAGGAUCUGCAGAUAAGAGGCUGUUAGGAAGUGGAAAAGAGCAUCAUGGGAGAUUCGUGUUUUUACAAAGGCUCAGGACAGUGGCUUCUCAGACAACAGGGCCCCUCCCUUGGGCUCCAAGCUUUGGACUGCCUCCCUGCCCCCCUCCUCCAGCCCAUCUCCAACCUUGCACCUCCUCUGCAAGGCCAAGGGGACAUGACCACCCAGGGCCUGCGUUUCCCUUUCUGGACCAUGUGCAGGUAUCUGGUCCUCAGAAUUCCCCACCCAAAUGGCUGGAGUCUGCUUCUGGGGCUGUGUGGGCCUCUUUCCUGGAUGGAAGGAUAACCAAGAUCCCUAACCCUGAGAGGUCACUUAAUUACUAAUGGACAGCUUCCAUAGUUUUUGUCCGUGUCCAACUUAAGACCAACCAGAGAAAGCCAAAUAUGUUUCCCUAACCAAUCACAUAGGAUGCCCUGCUUCUUCCUAACCACCUCCAGCUUCCCCAUGCCAACAGCCUCUAAUCAGGGCACACUGGAGCAUUCCCCAUUUUUUUCCCUGCUAUAAAGCCUUCCUCUGCCUGCCUUUGAGUCUCUGCCAAAUUCGAGUGACAGUAGCUGACUCCCUUGCUAGAGCAAGUUCUGAAUAAAUAGUCCUUCUCUGUUCUCCUUUGGGUAAUCUUUGUUUAUUUCCACAAUUGCCACAGUUUUUCAGUCUCCCUGAUUUUCAUAUCUAGGCCGAAGGCGAAGAAUGAUUAAUCAAAAUAUUUGUGUCUUUAUUAUUUAUUUAAUACAUUUAAAUGUUAUGUAAAAUUUUCUGAGGAAGAGUGAAAAAAUUAAAAGUAUUGACUGUUGGGAACCUAAUUAUAUAUAUAUAUAAUUGAUUGCAUUAGAUAAAAGGGCAUAUAUAUAUAUAUUUAUAUAUAU
rnacentral:lncRNA from 10 species